AUGAUUUUGAUAAAGUCUAGCGACUGUGGCCGUCGGCCUGACCGUCUUUGUGCUUUCUGUCAUCACUAUCAUCAUCUGCUUCACCUGCUCCUGCUGCUCCCUCUACAAGAUGUGUCGCUGACCGCGUCCAGUUGUGACCACCACCAUGUCCCCCACUGUGGUGCAUGCCCCUUACCUUCAGCCUCCAAGUGUGCCACCUAGCUACCCUGGACUACCAGGGCUACCACCCCAUGCCCCCCUCCCCCAGCCAGGAAUGCCAGCAGCACCCUACCCAAUGCAGUACCCAUCACCUUACCUGGCCCAGCCCACGGGCCCGCCAGCCUACCUCGAGGCCCUGGCUAGAGGAGCAGCCACACCCUACCCUACCAGCCAGCCUCCUUCCAACCCGGCCUACAUGGAUGCCUCGAAGGCGGCCCCCUGAGCGUGCCCUGGCCUCUCUGGCUGCCACUUGUUCAUGUCAUGUGUAUGUGAGUGGUGUGCAGGCACGGUUCCUUACACCCCGUGUGUGCUGUGUGUGUCCUGUCUGUAUAUGUGGCUUCAUAUGAUGCCUACUAGGUGGGGAGUGAUCCUUGCCAGAGUGGGCUGGGACCAGACUUUGUUCUCUUCCUCACCUGAAAUUAUGCUUCCUAGAAUCUCAAGUCAAACUUGAAGAAUGGAGUGGUGGGGGCACCCUGGGAGGUGGCCCCUGAGAGGUGGGGGGCUCUCCAGGGCACAUCUGGAGUUCUUUUCCAGCUUACCCUAGGGCGACAGAGUGCGGCCUGUCACACUAGGAUGGCGCAGCUUUCUGUGAGUAUUUUGCAGAUGUGUCCUGAUUUCAGCAGCAUAGCCAGCUGCCACUUGAGGCCAUAGCUUGUCCCCAGAGUUGGGGGUACCCUUUGCAGAGCCAGAGACAUAAUGCAGAUAAAGCUUGGGAUCUGACCAAGUUGGGCUUUGAUCCUUUGGGCCGAUGUCCCAUUGCUCCCUGGAGCCUGUGUCACGCCCACUGGGGGUCAGGCAGCCUCCUGAAGCCGGAACACCUCAGGCAGAGCCCUGCUCACCUGAAAGCUGUCUGCCUGGACUGUUCCUGUCCCUGCAUCCUCCCUGGGACCACCUGGAGGGCCACAUCCACACCCAGCCUAGCUGCCCACGGGGAGCUCUCCUGCCCUUGCUGGCCCUGCCCUUCCCACAGGUGAGCAGGGCGGCCUGUCCACCAGCACACUCAAGCCUCUUCCCUGCAGUGUUUUCAUUUGAUUUUAGCCAAACGCUUUGCCUAU